UUCAGUAUGAAUGGUGGAGCUAGAGCGGACAAGUUUGUUUCAGCAAUUAAGAAAGUUAGUGAGAGGUGAGAGAAAGAUGGAAAGCGCUCAAGUGCGUUGCUGUGUGUUAGAGGAUGACUUUUACACCGUACUGCAAAAGUCUGAAAGUGAAAGAAAAUGUGUCAGGUCAUAUUGGUGCAAAAGCGCGCCUCGCAAAUGUUGGCUGAAUUUAAAAAAGAAACAGAAGUGCAACGUUUGCGCCUGACCGCCAGUGAUGUGGGGUUCUCAUUGACUUUCUGAUGAAGAUGAGGAUGAGGAGAGACAAACUGGACUAUCCAUGAGGUCUGGGGUCAGCUUACUUACACACCUUUUAGGUCUAAGACGCAGGAUUGAGAAACAGUUUCACCGCAGGACUAUCAGACUGGUUUCCACCACAUUCACCCAUCCUGACAAGCGGUGGGGAAACCACCCCAGCAAAGCUCAUCUGUUGAGAUGUUGCUGAGGCACUUUGUGGUUAUGACCUCAUCAUCAUGAGAUGGAAAGGCUGGUGACUGCAGGCAGCUACAGAAGAGGUGGUGCUGUGUUGUGGUUUGCAGCUGCUGGUUCUUGGCAAAAUAAAUUGCACUGUGGAGAUGCCUCAGGGAAUUAUUUGCUCAAAGGUUGAAAGGAUGAACAAAAAAAGGAAUUCAAGAGGUAUUUGUGAUUCAGAAUGUGUUUGUCUGUAGUUGUGACUUAGAUGUAUCCCAGAUCAAAUUUCGUAAUCGAUGGAGAAACUGUUUUUAAAAAAAUUAUUUAUUUAUUAUUUUUCAUCAGAAAUAUUAUUUUACACCAGCGAUUAAAUUCCACAGUUUAAGGACUAACUGGUCUGGUUGACUGACACUGCUGAGUAACACUGUAGUGUUUUAAAACCAUUAACAGGCUGCGAUUCAUGGGGCGAGUGGGCUUCAUGGCUAUUGUCACACAUUACAACCACGUAGUAAAAUUUUAAAAAGUCGUUAUUGCUGAGAACAUGUCAUUCAUCAGAAAUGUGCACACAUUUUACAUGACAGGAACUGUUUUUUUCCCCACUUCUCCUGAAAUAUACUACAUCAGGAAAAAAUGGUUUUUACCGUAAAAUUCCCAUGUUUUCAGCAGGGUUUUGAAAGAUUUUCCACUAAUCCGUCCUGAGUCAUAGGUAUGACUUCAGCAGUGUUAGGGAACUUCUUUAGAUGGUGUUAAAGAGCUUAACAGGGAGCCUCCUUGUAGGAAUGUAAUGACUCCGCUUCUGUUUGGAGACACCCCAGACCUAAAGAGCUCCUCUUUUCUGUGUUUUAAGAGAAAGACAUACUCCUCUCUUUUCUACUUUUUAAAUGUAUCCAUACUCUGGCAUUCAUAGGAUUUGGCAUUAACACGAGUGGAUAGAAACUACGUGAAAAGUGAGUCAUGCCUAGAAAACCCUGACCCUAGAAAAUGUCGCGCAUCCCCCCCCGACUUGGUUUAGUUUGACCUCUGUUACAUUGAGGCAGUGAUAUUUGAGUGCUGAGCAGGAAGCGGGUUCUCAUAGCCGUGUCUUUUUCCCCAUGUUGUAAAUGAUGGCACAGAAUGUAACAUUGUAAUGUAAGAUUGUAAUGUAUGAAGUACCAAGGAAAUUUUGCUAUGAAAUAAAAAAAAAUUCUUAAGAGUCGUGGAGUUUUCAGGUAUCAUGUUUAGGAAAUGCUUCAGUGAAGUGACACUUUUUAAAGCAAGUGGGUGAUUGAUCGGUAAACUGAGGAGUUUAAUGUGGCAUGGACAUUCAGGUUCAGGUGUAAUUUCUCGCACAAUAUACCAAUCAGUAUGGUACAUACAAAAGUGUAGACAGGAAAAGAGCUCAGUUUGUUCAUAUGGGUAAUGCAGACAAAAAAAUACAUUUGCAGUGUGUGUGUGUGUCUGUGUGUGUUUGUGUAUUUUAAAAGGAACCGUGUAAACUUAAAAGAGGGACAGAGACCAAAGAAGGAAGAGUGCAUGUGAAAAAGAGAAAGACAAAGUGGUGAGAGAGGGCGUAUAUCUUUAGCUGCCUAUAAAGCUCUGCAUGCUUCUCAUUUUAGGCAGAAGUGAAUCCUGGCUGUAAGAAAUGAUGACAAUACACUAAUAAAGC